rnacentral:misc_RNA from 1 species
GAUGAAGAACGUAGCGAAAUGCGAUAAGUAGUGUGAAUUGCAGAAUUCAGUGAAUCAUCGAAUCUUUGAACGCACAUUGCGCCCCUUGGUAUUCCAUGGGGCAUGCCUGUUCGAGCGUCAUUUGUACCUUCAAGCUUUGCUUGGUGUUGGGUGUUUGUCUCGCCUUUGCGUGUAGACUCGCCUUAAAAUAAUUGGCAGCCGGCGUAUUGAUUUCGGAGCGCAGUACAUCUCGCGCUUUGCACUCAUAACGACAGCGUCCAAAAGUACAUUUUACACUCUUGACCUCGGAUAAGGUAGGGAUACCCGCUGAACUUAAGCAUAUCAAUAAGCGGAGGA